CCUACGGGUGGCUGCAGUGGGGAAUAUUGGACAAUGGGCGAAAGCCUGAUCCAGCCAUGCCGCGUGUGUGAAGAAGGCCUUCGGGUUGUAAAGCACUUUCAGUGGGGAAGAAAGCCUUGGGGCUAAUACCCUCGAGGAAGGACAUCACCCACAGAAGAAGCACCGGCUAACUCCGUGCCAGCAGCCGCGGUAAUACGGAGGGUGCGAGCGUUAAUCGGAAUUACUGGGCGUAAAGCGCGCGUAGGCGGUCUGAUAAGCCGGUUGUGAAAGCCCCGGGCUCAACCUGGGAACGGCAUCCGGAACUGUCAGGCUAGAGUGCAGAAGAGGAAGGUAGAAUUCCCGGUGUAGCGGUGAAAUGCGUAGAGAUCGGGAGGAAUACCAGUGGCGAAGGCGGCCUUCUGGACUGACACUGACGCUGAGGUGCGAAAGCGUGGGUAGCAAACAGGAUUAGAUACCCGGGUAGUC
rnacentral:rRNA from 1 species